CGCCGCCCAGCAUCCUGGCGGCGCAGGACGCCAUCGUCUUCUCGGAUGGAGCCGGAGACGCCGGGCGCCGGGAGCCGGGCGCCGAGGAACCGGCUCGGGGCGCCGACGUCUUCUGGGCCAGCCUCGUGCAAGCUCAGAUGUGCGUGUGGGACCUGCAGGGAGCCAUCGAGGGGCAGCCGGCGGCUGGUGGCAUCUCGCACGAGCAUCACGGCCACGUGCUGAUGGCCGGGAGCAUUCCGCACGAGCACCGAGGCGGCCUAGCCACGUACGAGAGCGGCUCGCACGAGCACCGAGGCCACGUGCCCAUAGAUGGGAGCGUCUUGCAUGAGCACCAAGGCCACGUGCCCCCGGAUGGGAGCUUCUCGCACGACUACGUGCCUGCGGGUGGGAGCAUCUUGCAUGAGUACGUGCCCACGGAUGGGAGCAUCUUGCACGACUAUGUGCCUGCAGGUGGGAGCAUCUCGCAUGAAAGCGUGUCCAUGGAUGGGAGCAUCUCGCACGAGUUCGUGCCUGCAGAAGGGAGCAUCUCACACGAACACGUGCUCAUGGAUGGGAGCAUCUCGCACAAGCGUGUGCCCACAGAUGGGAGCAUCUCGCAUGAGUUCGUGCCUGCAGAAGGGAGCAUCUCACACGAACACGUGCUCAUGGAUGGGAGCAUCUCUCACAAGCGCGUGCCCACGGAUGGGAGCAUCUCGCAUGAAUGGGAGCAUCUCGCACGACUACGUGCCCAGGGAUGGGACCAUCUCGCAUGACUUCGUGCCUAUAGAAGGGAGCAUCUCGCACGACUACGUGCCCGCAGAAGGGAGCGUCUCGCACGAGUUCGUGUCUGCAGAAAGGAGCAUCUCGCACGACUACGUGCCCACGGAUGGGAGCAUCUCGCGCGAGUUCGUGCCUAUAGAAGGGAACAUCUCACACGACUACGUGCCUGCAGAAAGGAGCAUCUCGCACGACUACGUGCCCACGGAUGGGAGCGUCUCGCACGAGUUCGUAUCUGCGGAAAGGAGCAUCUCGCACGACUACGUGCCCACAGAUGGGACCAUCUCGCAUGAAUUUGUGACCACGGAUGGGAGCAUCUCGCACGACUACGUGCCC
rnacentral:lncRNA from 1 species